GACGGUACCUAACGAAUAAGCAUCGGCUAACUCCGUGCCAGCAGCCGCGGUAAGACGGAGGAUGCAAGCGUUAUCCGGAAUUAUUGGGCGUAAAGCGUACGUAGGCUGUUUAAUAAGUCUGUUGUCAAAGCCCGAGGCUCAACCUUGGAUCGGCAAUGGAAACUGUUAGACUAGAGAGAGAUAGGGGCAGGAGGAAUUCCAGGUGUAGCGGUGAAAUGCGUAGAUAUCUGGAAGAACACCAGUGGCGAAAGCGUCCUGCUGGAUCUCAACUGACGCUGAAGUACGAAAGCUAGGGGAGCGAAUGGGAU
rnacentral:rRNA from 1 species